GUCGAGGAUGUAGAAAAGAGCUGGGAGUUGUUCUGCAAUGAGUAACUAUAGCUGUUUUCUACYUAUUUAU
rnacentral:pre_miRNA from 1 species